rnacentral:rRNA from 1 species
GGCCUAACACAUGCAAGUCGAGCGGUAGCACAGGGAGCUUGCUCCUGGGUGACGAGCGGCGGACGGGUGAGUAAUGUCUGGGAAACUGCCUGAUGGAGGGGGAUAACUACUGGAAACGGUAGCUAAUACCGCAUAAUGUCUUCGGACCAAAGAGGGGGACCUUCGGGCCUCUUGCCAUCAGAUGUGCCCAGAUGGGAUUAGCUAGUAGGUGAGGUAAUGGCUCACCUAGGCGACGAUCCCUAGCUGGUCUGAGAGGAUGACCAGCCACACUGGAACUGAGACACGGUCCAGACUCCUACGGGAGGCAGCAGUGGGGAAUAUUGCACAAUGGGCGCAAGCCUGAUGCAGCCAUGCCGCGUGUGUGAAGAAGGCCUUCGGGUUGUAAAGCACUUUCAGCGAGGAGGAAGGGUUCAGUGUUAAUAGCACUGUUCAUUGACGUUACUCGCAGAA